rnacentral:rRNA from 1 species
CACUGGGACUGAGACACGGCCCAGACUCCUACGGGAGGCAGCAGUGAGGAAUAUUGGACAAUGGGCGCAAGCCUGAUCCAGCCAUGCCGCGUGCAGGAAGACGGUCCUAUGGAUUGUAAACUGCUUUUAUUUGGGAAUAAACCUCCUUACGUGUAGGGAGCUGAAUGUACCAAAUGAAUAAGCACCGGCUAACUCCGUGCCAGCAGCCGCGGUAAUACGGAGGGUGCGAGCGUUAAUCGGAAUUACUGGGCG